UUCCUACGGGAGGCAGCAGUGGGGAAUAUUGGGCAAUGGGCGCAAGCCUUACCCAGCAAUACCGCGUGAGUGAAGAAGGUCUUCGGAUUGUAAAGCUCUUUGAUCAGGGACGAACAGAUGACGGUACCUGAAGAACAAGCCCCGGCUAACUACGUGCCAGCAGCCGCGGUAAUACGUAGGGGGCAAGCGUUAUCCGGAUUUACUGGGUGUAAAGGGGGCGCAGACGGCGAUGCAAGCCAGGAGUGAAAGCCCGGGGCCCAACCCCGGGACUGCUCUUGGAACUGCGUGGCUGGAGUGCAGGAGGG
rnacentral:rRNA from 1 species